rnacentral:rRNA from 1 species
UGGGGAAUAUUGGACAAUGGGGGCAACCCUGAUCCAGCCAUGCCGCGUGCGUGAAGAAGGCCUUAGGGUUGUAAAGCGCUUUCAGCGGGGACGAUGAUGACGGUACCCGCAGAAGAAGCCCCGGCUAACUCCGUGCCAGCAGCCGCGGUAAUACGGAGGGGGCAAGCGUUGUUCGGAAUUAUUGGGCGUAAAGCGUCCGCAGGUGGCACUUCAAGUCUGCUGUCAAAGACCAGAGCUCAACUCUGGGCAGGCGGUGGAAACUGGGGAGCUAGGGUACGGUAGGGGUAGAGGGAAUUUCCAGUGUAGCGGUGAAAUGCGUAGAGAUUGGAAAGAACACCAGUGGCGAAGGCGCUCUACUGGACCUGUACUGACACUAAGGGACGAAAGCUAGGGGAGCGAAAGGGAUUAGAUACCCCUGUAGUCC